UUGCUCACUUUGGCAGCAUAUAUAUUAAAACUGGAAGGGUACAGAGAAGAUUAGCAUGGCUCUACACAAGGAUGAAACACAAACUUGUGAAGCAUCCAUAAAAAUA